UGGGGAAUAUUGCACAAUGGGCGCAAGCCUGAUGCAGCCAUGCCGCGUGUGUGAAGAAGGCCUUCGGGUUGUAAAGCACUUUCAGCGGGGAGGAAGGCGGUGAGGUUAAUAACCUCAUCGAUUGACGUUACCCGCAGAAGAAGCACCGGCUAACUCCGUGCCAGCAGCCGCGGUAAUACGGAGGGUGCAAGCGUUAAUCGGAAUUACUGGGCGUAAAGCGCACGCAGGCGGUCUGUCAAGUCGGAUGUGA
rnacentral:rRNA from 1 species